rnacentral:lncRNA from 13 species
GGAGGGCAGCCGACAAUGAGCCCAGGAGACAGCAGGCACCAGACCCGGCUGGCCUUACAGAGUACGGCACCUUGGACACCUCCAACUGAGAUCCUCUUUCCCCUGGUCCUGUUGUCUGAAUGUACUGGGAAGCAGCAGAGCUUGUCCCAGUCAUGAUGGUGACAAGAGGCAACAGCCCGAACAUCCCGAUGCAAGAGGCUGAGAUGCAGUCUCCUGCUCCCCACAUUCAUGCCCAUUAGCAAGCAGCGCCACAUCCAGCAGACAGGCAUUCAUCGCACAGGAGCACCCUCCAAGCCGGCAGCAGCUGUGACUCCUCUUCAGUCAUCUGCUCCUCAGACGCUUUUGUGGACAAAGCCCAGAUAACUUAAGGUAAGACGAAAUGAGAAACAUUUGCUCCUUGAAAAUUGUUAACAUCUGUCCUGACUAGCAGAGCCACGGCUCUUUGUAACUGAGGAAAGAGAAUCCCUGAGGAGUGUGGGUGUGGGGAUGAUGGCGCGCCCUGUGCCCCCAUCCCCCGACCUGCCUGCCCCUGGAAGCCUGCAGGGAAGACACGCAUUGCCAUAGGAGGACCUGGACCCAAGUCUUGACUCCUCAAGGUGUGCCCUUGAGGCAGGUGGUGACCUUUCUGGACUUCAGUUUCCUCGCAGGUUUGUCGGGAGGAGGGGCUAGAGGAUGUGAGCAGGUGCAGACACGAGGGGUGCUUCAUUUGCACUCUGGAAACACCUCCUUCCUUCCUGUGAGCCCAGAAGGAA